rnacentral:rRNA from 1 species
ACAGCAGUCGCCGCGGGAAUACAGAGGGUGCGAGCGUUAAUCGGAUUUACUGGGCGUAAAGCGUGCGUAGGCGGCUAAUUGAGUCGGAUGUGAAAUCCCCGAGCUUAACUUGGGAAUUGCAUUCGAUACUGGUUAGCUAGAGUGUGGGAGAGGAUGGUAGAAUUCCAGGUGUAGCGGUGAAAUGCGUAGAGAUCUGGAGGAAUACCGAUGGCGAAGGCAGCCAUCUGGCCUAACACUGACGCUGAGGUACGAAAGCAUGGGGAGCAAACAGGAUUAGAUACCCCGGUAGUCCCUGUCUCUUAUAC